UACGAGUGCCCCCGAGCGUUAUCCGGAAUUAUUGGGCGUAAAGGGUGUGUAGGCGGCUUUGUUAGUCUUAUGUUAAAGCUCCCGGCUUAACCGGGAAAAUGCAUGAGAUACGGCAAAACUAGAGGAUGCGAGAGGUAUGCGGAACUCAUAGUGUAGGGGUAAAAAUCCCGUUGAUAUUAUGGGGAACACCAAAAAGCGAAGGCAGCAUACUGGCGCACUCCUGACGUUGAGACACGAAAGCGUGGGUAGCGAAUGGG
rnacentral:rRNA from 1 species